AUACUUACCUUAAGAUAACAUGGGAGAUCAAGAAGUCCUUUUGUUCAAGUAUGCUCUUUCAAUUAAAGGGACGCUAAGCGUUUACGUUGAAAUUUGAUUUUAAAUAAGAAUUUUUAUUUUUAUUCUAAAGUUCUAUUUCAAAUACUUAAUUGACGUAAGCUCCCUUGUCCAUUACACACAAGUUGGCGAAAGGUGUGCUUGCCGACGUCUCAUUCCUUCGUUUCAAUUGUAUUUUAUGUUUUGGUACAUUUGUUAUUCUCAUUGAGAUUAAUAAAUUUAUUUGAGCAUUUUAAAUAUUUUUGAAGCCCUUUGUUUCUUCUGCCUGGAGAAGGAUGGUGCUGAAAACAAAUCAGCAUUGGAGGAGUUGGAAUUCUGUUUAGGAGAGCCUUUAAAGUCGAUGAAAAUUUAGUUUGGUAGAAAAUUUAUUAUUUUAUAUUCUAUUGAUUCCAUUAAUUGUUUAAUCGACCCCGGUUGAUUAAGUAUAUUUCUGUGAAGGUUGAAUAGAAGUAAUAUCAAUUGUUUUCAUAUCUACUAGGUUUGCAUUGAUUUGAAUGAUAUUUUAAUAAUGAGAAUUUUUUUUUCAUUUUUUAAGAUAUUGUUUUAAAUCGAUAAUUGACCUUAGAGACAUAGUUUUAAAAUAUUCGUAUUUUUAACUAAAAUCCUGGAGAAUUUUAUUGGAGAUGGGCGGGUCUUAUAAUUUUUGAUGCAUCUU
rnacentral:snRNA from 1 species